AAUCUCUUUCUGGUGGUUGCUUCCUUUUGAGUUUUUUCUGUGAGCCUAGGACACAGGCUGACUCUCGGUAUAUCUGUUUCCACCAGACUAAAAUACAUCAUGUGCAUCAACAAGCCUUUCAACAUCAAGACCGACCAUUUUCCACAUUUUUCAAAUAGUAUGUACUAUCCUCUCUUGUUGUAAAUCGCUGUCUGAAUACUCAGCUGGGAAGACAUUCAGAAUGAGUAGUGCAUUUUUAUUUUUUAAAAUCUUUGUGGCGGCGGGGGGGGAAGCAUUGGUGGUGCAUUGAUGAUAGUUCAGUCAGCAAAAAUAAGAAUUCCUGUUUAAAAAAAAAAAACAUGGCCAGAAAAGGAAAUUAUCUCAGAUUUCACAAGUUUCAGUAGAACAUUAAAAUUGAGCAGAUUUUCAGGCAAUUCUUAAGAACUGUCACUGUCACCUAGCAAUGAAAGUCCCUUUGGCUACCUGAAUGAUGAUUUGACUCUUUCCUCAGAAAAUUAAAAUUAAAUGAGAAAAGAAAAGCUACAAGAUUUAGCGGGAAAAUAUAAUGUUCAGUACAUCCAGGAGGAUGAAUUUUUAAAUGCUGGUCUACAUAAUUGAGAAUAAUAAAAUAUUACUGUCCCUCUGCCCAAAUCUAUUUAAGUAACCUUAUUUUAAGUCAGCACAGAAAAUAUAUUAGGUCUUUCAUACUUAAAAUAUCCACCAUAAAGUGCUAUCAGCUCUGUUAAUGAGAGUCCAAGAGGAAGAUGAUAAAGGUGUUCAAACCUGUAUGGCACUUUAUGACUUAAUGCAUUUUCAUUGUUAAUGACAAAUUUUCAGAGGACCUAGUUUUCAGUAAAUGUGCAGACAACAUAUGUCAGGUAAUCUAUCUACUAUGCUAUAGUAUACAAAACAGAAUUGGAGCUUCCUUGGCUGAAAUAGCACUGGGACUCCUAAUAUGACUCUUCAUCAAUAAAAAAAAAAAUCCGCUGUUAUAUGCUACUAUCUUACUACUUAUUGCAUCUGCCAAAUAGCUAUUUUAAUCAAAUUUGUUUUGUAAGUCUAGUCUUAUGGCUAUAACUUAUAUUCCCAGCCUGUAGUUGAUAUCUGGUGAAUCUGUAAACUGCUUGUAAAAGAUCCUGAGAGGAGCUAAGGGAAAAUUAUUUUAUGCAAGUAAUAACUCAUGAGUGGGAAAUUCUGAAGAGGAGAUGACCACUGGAUUAUAUCACAGAAUAUCCCAAGUUGGAAGAGACCCACAGGGAUUGAGUCCAUCUCCUGAAUAUAACAUAAGUUUGUAAACUCCAAUCAUUAACCUUUUGAAUUAAAAUUCAUUGACAGAGCCUAUUAAUGGUUUAGUGUAUUUUACAUAUUGCAUGGAAAGAAUAGCAACAUUAAUAAAUCCAAUAAACAAAAAAAUCU
ensembl:lncRNA